GACGAACGCUGGCGGCGUGCCUAAUACAUGCAAGUAGAACGAGUGGCGGACGGGUGAGUAAUGUCUGGGAAACUGCCUGAUGGAGGGGGAUAACUACUGGAAACGGUAGCUAAUACCGCAUACCAUCAGAUGUGCCAAGAUGGGAUUAGCUAGUAGGUGGGGUAACGGCUCACCUAGGCGACGAUCCCUAGCUGGUCUGAGAGGAUGACCAGCCCCACUGGAACUGAGCCACGGUCCGUACUCCUACGGUAGGCAGCAGUGGGGAAUAUUGCACACUGGGCGCAAGCCUGAUGCAGCCAUGCCGCGUGUAUGAAGAAGGCCUUCGGGUUGUAAAGUCCUUUCAGCGGGGAGGCGUUACCCGCAGAAGAAGCACCGGCUAACUCCGUGCCAGCAGCCGCGGUAAUAC
rnacentral:rRNA from 1 species